UAAUACGUAGGGUGCGAGCGUUAAUCGGAAUUACUGGGCGUAAAGCGUGCGCAGGCGGUUUUGUAAGACAGAUGUGAAAUCCCCGGGCUUAACCUGGGAACUGCAUUUGUGACUGCAAGGCUAGAGUACGGCAGAGGGGGGUAGAAUUCCACGUGUAGCAGUGAAAUGCGUAGAUAUGUGGAGGAAUACCGAUGGCGAAGGCAGCCCCCUGGGUCGAUACUGACGCUCAUGCACGAAAGCGUGGGGAGCAAACAGGAUUAGAUACCCUGGUAGUCCACGCCCUAAACGAUGUCAACUAGGUGUUGGGGGAGGAGACUUCCUUAGUACCGCAGCUAACGCGUGAAGUUGACCGCCUGGGGAGUACGGUCGCAAGAUUAAAACUUAAAUGAAUUGACGG
rnacentral:rRNA from 1 species